rnacentral:rRNA from 1 species
AUUUCUUCGGAUUGAUAUGCUGAGUGGCGGACGGGUGAGUAACGCGUGGGUACCUGCCUCACACAGGGGGAUAGCAGUUGGAAACGGCUGAUAAUACCGCAUAAGACCGCAUGGUAAAAACUCCGGUGGUGUGAGAUGGACCCGCGUCUGAUUAGCUUGUUGGCGGGGUAACGGCCCACCAAGGCAACGAUCAGUAGCCGACCUGAGAGGGUGACCGGCCACAUUGGGACUGAGACACGGCCCAGACUCCUACGGGAGGCAGCAGUGGGGAAUAUUGCACAAUGGAGGAAACUCUGAUGCAGCGACGCCGCGUGAGUGAAGAAGUAAUUCGUUAUGUAAAGCUCUAUCAGCAGGGAAGAUAGUGACGGUACCUGACUAAGAAGCUCCGGCUAAAUACGUGCCAGCAGCCGCGGUAAUACGUAUGGAGCAAGCGUUAUCCGGAUUUACUGGGUGUAAAGGGAGUGUAGGUGGCAUCACAAGUCAGAAGUGAAAGCCCGGGGCUCAACCCCGGGACUGCUUUUGAAACUGUGGAGCUGGAGUGCAGGAGAGGCAAGUGGAAUUCCUAGUGUAGCGGUG